GCCGCGUGCAGGAAGAAUGCCCUAUGGGUAGUAAACUGCUUUUAUACAGGAAGAAAAAGGGGCACGUGUGCCCUACUGACGGUACUGUAAGAAUAAGGACCGGCUAACUCCGUGCCAGCAGCCGCGGUAAUACGGAGGGUCCGAGCGUUAUCCGGAAUUAUUGGGUUUAAAGGGUCCGUAGGCGGGCGAUUAAGUCAGUGGUGAAAGUCUGUAGCUCAACUAUAGAAUUGCCUUUGAUACUGAUCGUCUUGAGUUAUAGUGAAGUUGCCGGAAUAUGUAGUGUAGCGGUGAAAUGCAUAGAUAUUACAUAGAACACCGAUUGCGAAGGCAGGUGACUAACUAUAUACUGACGCUGAUGGACGAAAGCGUGGGGAGCGAACAGGAUUAGAUACCCUGGUAGUCCACGCCGUAAACGAUGGAUACUAGCUGUCCGAGGCCUUGAGUCUUGGGCGGCCAAGCGAAAGUGAUAAGUAUCCCACCUGGGGAGUACGUUCGCAAGAAUGAAACUCAAAGGAAUUGACGGGGGCCCGCACAAGCGGUGGAGCAUGUGGUUUAAUUCGAUGAUACGCGAGGAACCUUACCAGGGCUUAAAUGCAUUUUGACAGGUCUAGAGAUAGAUUUUCCUUCGGGCAAUUUGCAAGGUGCUGCAUGGUUGUCGUCAGCUCGUGCCGUGAGGUGUCAGGUUAAGUCCUAUAACGAGCGCAACCC
rnacentral:rRNA from 1 species